UACAGAGGUCUCAAGCGUUGUUCGGAUUCAUUGGGCGUAAAGGGUGUGUAGGUGGCGCCGUAAGUCGGGUGUGAAAUUUCGGAGCUUAACUCCGAAACUGCAUUCGAUACUGCGGUGCUUGAGGACUGGAGAGGAGACUGGAAUUCAUGGUGUAGCAGUGAAAUGCGUAGAGAUCGUAAGGAAGACCAGUGGCGAAGGCGGGUCUCUGGACAGUUCCUGACGCUGAGGCACGAAGGCCAGGGGAGCGAAACGGG
rnacentral:rRNA from 1 species